rnacentral:rRNA from 1 species
GAGUUUGAUCGUGGCUCAGAUUGAACGCUGGCGGUAUGCUUAACACAUGCAAGUCGAACGGUAACAGGAGAGAGCUUGCUCUUUUGCUGACGAGUGGCGGACGGGUGAGUAAUGCGUAGGAAUCUGCCUAGUAGUGGGGGACAACGUGUGGAAACGCACGCUAAUACCGCAUACGCCCUACGGGGGAAAGCGGGGAUCUUCGGACCUCGCGCUAUUAGAUGAGCCUACGUUAGAUUAGCUAGUUGGUGGGGUAAAGGCCUACCAAGGCGACGAUCUAUAGCUGGUCUGAGAGGAUGAUCAGCCACACUGGGACUGAGACACGGCCCAGACUCCUACGGGAGGCAGCAGUGGGGAAUAUUGGACAAUGGGCGAAAGCCUGAUCCAGCAAUACCGCGUGUGUGAAGAAGGCCUGAGGGUUGUAAAGCACUUUCAAUUGUGAAGAAAUAUUUAAGGUUAAUAACCUUAAAUUUUGACGUUAACUUUAGAAGAGCACCGGCUAACUCCGUGCCAGCCGCCGCCGUAACACCUAC